rnacentral:sRNA from 23 species
AUCCGUUCCCCGAACAGUCUCCGUAUGGUGUGCGUGCCCUGAAGGGCUAGGUGGCUGGUCGCUU